GACAUGGCUCAGGAUGAACGCUAGCUACAGGCUUAACACAUGCAAGUCGAGGGGCAGCAUGGUCUUAGCUUGCUAAGGCCGAUGGCGACCGGCGCACGGGUGAGUAACGCGUAUCCAACCUGCCUUACACUCUUGGACAGCCUUCUGAAAGGGAGAUUAAUACAAGAUGUUAUCAUGAGUAAGCAUUUUCACAUGAUUAAAGGUUUACCGGUGUAAGAUGGGGAUGCGUUCCA
rnacentral:rRNA from 1 species